rnacentral:snRNA from 1 species
GUGCUCACUUCGGCAGUACAUAUACUAAAAUUGAAACGAGACAGAAAAAAUUAGCAUGGCCCCUGCACAGGAUGAUGUUUUAAAAAAUGUUU